UACGUAGGGGGCAAGCGUUGUCCGGAAUUAUUGGGCGUAAAGCGCACGUAGGCGGAUUGUUAAGUCAGGGGUGAAAUCCUGGAGCUCAACUCCAGAACUGCCUUUGAUACUGGCGAUCUUGAGUCCGGGAGAGGUGAGUGGAACUGCGAGUGUAGAGGUGAAAUUCGUAGAUAUUGGGAAGAACACCGGUGGCGAAGGCGGCUCACUGGCUCAUUACUGACGCUCAGGCGCGAUAGCGUGGGGAUCAAACAGG
rnacentral:rRNA from 1 species